AGGUGGAGUCCAGAGGCCUCCCCGUCCUGCUGGCUGAGGGCCUGGGCCUCAAACAGCUGCUUCAUUAUGAGCGCCGACUUCUGCUCCAGCUGCAUGACGCGCCCACUCUUCUCGGUCACCUCCUGGGUGAGGCGUCGGUUCUGCUCCUUCAGCAUAAGGAUAGUCUGCUGCUGCCACCCCGGGAAGGAGGUGAACGUCAGGGCAGGGCAGAGGGGCCCGGAGGAGGACGUAGGUAGGGCCCGGCUGGCACCGGCCGCAGCCAGCAACUCCCCCACGCACCGGGCCACCUCCUGUACCUUAGGCAGUAGCCGCCCCAGUGGGUGGGGGCUCCCCGCAGGCCCAAAGUCGGCGCUGGCUCUGCUCUGGCCCAGGCGGCACUGGCGGUCCUGCACUGGUUGCAGCCGCUGCUGGUACCAGUCGCGACCCCGCCAUCAUCUCCAAACCCUGCAGCAGCACCACCUUCUCCUGCUCCAGCUCCUUCAUCUGCUUCAGCAGGCCGCAGUCCACGCCGCUGGUGA
rnacentral:lncRNA from 1 species